AACGCAUCUUGCGCUCCUUGGUAUUCCGAGGAGCAUGCCUGUUUGAGUGUCAUUUGACUUCUCUCAACCACAUCGUCUUUUCAAUGUGGCUUGGAUGUGGGGGAAUUUCUUUGCAGGCUUUUUAUUUGUUUAAGAAGCCGGCUCCCCUUAAAUGCAUUAGUGGUGUCUGAGCUGCUAUUGGUGUGAUAAAUCUAUCUAUGCCUUUGGUGAUGCUGGUCAGCGCUGCUUAUAACAAGACAAAAAUUCAUUUGACAAAUUUGACCUCAAAUCAGGUAGGACUACCCGCUGAACUUAA
rnacentral:misc_RNA from 1 species